rnacentral:rRNA from 1 species
AACGAACGCUGGCGGCAUGCCUAACACAUGCAAGUCGAACGAGACCUUCGGGUCUAGUGGCGCACGGGUGCGUAACGCGUGGGAACCUGCCCUUAGGUUCGGAAUAACUCCCCGAAAGGGGUGCUAAUACCGGAUAAUGUCUUCGGACCAAAGAUUUAUCGCCUUUGGAUGGGCCCGCGUUGGAUUAGCUAGUUGGUAGGGUAAAAGCCUACCAAGGCGACGAUCCAUAGCUGGUCUGAGAGGAUGAUCAGCCACACUGGGACUGAGACACGGCCCAGACUCCGACGGGAGGCAGCAGUGGGGAAUAUUGGACAAUGGGCGAAAGCCUGAACCAGCAAUGCCGCGUGAGUGAUGAAGGCCUUAGGGUUGUAAAGCUCCUUUACCCGGGAUGAUAAUGACAGUACCGGGAGAAUAAGCUCCGGCCAACUCCGUG